rnacentral:rRNA from 1 species
CCAGGGGAAGGUUCGUCCGCCCUGGGUUAGUCGGGACCUAAGCUGAGGCCGAAAGGCGUAGGUGAUGGACAACAGGUUGAUAUUCCUGUACUACCGAUAACCGUUUGGGAGAUGGGAUGACACAGUAGGAUAAGCUAAGCACACUGUUGGUUAUGUGUGCCCAAGCAUUGAGGCAGUCAGAGUAGGUAAAUCCGCUUUGAUAAUGCUGGGAUGUGAUGGGGAGCGAAAUUUAGUA